AACGAACGCUGGCGGCAGGCCUAACACAUGCAAGUCGAGCGAGGACUUCGGUUCUAGCGGCGGACGGGUGAGUAACGCGUGGGAAUGUGCCCUUCUCUACGGAAUAGCCCUGGGAAACUGGGAGUAAUACCGUAUACGCCCUUUUGGGGAAAGAUUUAUCGGAGAAGGAUCAGCCCGCGUUGGAUUAGGUAGUUGGUGGGGUAAUGGCCUACCAAGCCGACGAUCCAUAGCUGGUUUGAGAGGAUGAUCAGCCACACUGGGACUGAGACACGGCCCAGACUCCUACGGGAGGCAGCAGUGGGGAAUCUUAGACAAUGGGGGCAACCCUGAUCUAGCCAUGCCGCGUGAGUGAUGAAGGCCUUAGGGUUGUAAAGCUCUUUCAGCUGGGAAGAUAAUGACGGUACCAGCAGAAGAAGUCCCGGCUAACUCCGUG
rnacentral:rRNA from 1 species